UACGUAGGGUGCAAGCGUUAAUCGGAAUUACUGGGCGUAAAGCGUGCGCAGGCGGUUUUGUAAGCCAGAUGUGAAAGCCCCGGGCUUAACCUGGGAAUGGCAUUUGGGACUGCAAGGCUUGAGUGCGGCAGAGGAGACUGGAAUUCCCGGUGUAGCAGUGAAAUGCGUAGAUAUCGGGAGGAAUACCGAUGGCGAAGGCAGGUCUCUGGGCUGACACUGACGCUCAUGCACGAAAGCGUGGGGAGCAAACAGG
rnacentral:rRNA from 1 species